CCACGCAGUAAACGAUGAUUACUGGGCGUAUGCGAUAUACAGUAUGCUCCUGAGCGAAAGCGUUAAGUAAUCCACCUGGGGAGUACGCCGGCAACGGUGAAACUCAAAGGAAUUGACGGGGGCCCGCACAAGCGGAGGAACAUGUGGUUUAAUUCGAUGAUACGCGAGGAACCUUACCCGGGAUUGAAAUGUAUACGCUGGAUUUGUGAAAGCGAGUCUAUUCACUUCGGUGACGUAUAUGUAGGUGCUGCAUGGUUGU
rnacentral:rRNA from 1 species